UACGUAGGGGCCGAGCGUUGUCCGGAGUUAUUGGGCGUAAAGCGCGCGCAGGCGGCUUCGCGCGCCCGACGUGAAAGCCCCCGGCUUAACCGGGGAGAGUCGUUGGGGACGGCGGAGCUUGAGGGCGGGAGAGGUCGGUGGAAUUCCCGGUGUAGUGGUGAAAUGCGUAGAGAUCGGGAGGAACACCUGUGGCGAAGGCGGCCGACUGGGCCGACCCUGACGUUGAGGCGCGAAGGCGUGGGGAGCGAACGGG
rnacentral:rRNA from 1 species